rnacentral:rRNA from 1 species
GAUGAACGCUGGCGGCGUGCCUAAUACAUGCAAGUCGAGCGAACAGACGAGGAGCUUGCUCCUCUGACGUUAGCGGCGGACGGGUGAGUAACACGUGGAUAACCUACCUAUAAGACUGGGAUAACUUCGGGAAACCGGAGCUAAUACCGGAUAAUAUAUUGAACCGCAUGGUUCAAUAGUGAAAGACGGUUUUGCUGUCACUUAUAGAUGGAUCCGCGCCGCAUUAGCUAGUUGGUAAGGUAACGGCUUACCAAGGCAACGAUGCGUAGCCGACCUGAGAGGGUGAUCGGCCCCACUGGAACUGAGACACGGUCCAGGCUCCUACGGGAGGCAGCAGUAGGGAAUCUUCCGCAAUGGGCGAAAGCUUGACGGAGCAACGCCGCGUGAGUGAUGAAGGUCUUCGGAUCGUAAAACUCUGUUAUUAGGGAAGAACAAAUGUGUAAGUAACUAUGCACGUCUUGACGGUACCUAAUCAGAAAGCCACGGCUAACUACGUG